GUCUAGGGCCACCCUACCCUGAAUGCAUCUGCUCUCAUGUGAUCUCAGAAGCUAGGCAGGGUCGGGCCUGUUAGUACCUGGAUGGGAGGAACCCUCUGGAAACUGUCGUUA
ensembl:rRNA 5S_rRNA 5S ribosomal RNA